rnacentral:lncRNA from 1 species
AGUAUCCCCUGUGCUUAAUUGCUGGAGGUUUGUGCAGGUCCUCAGCCCUGUGGCGCUCACCUCCCAGGGCUGUGGCCUGGGUCCCUACCCAGCGGGGACCUGCAGAAUUGUGUCGGGAAGUUGCAUUUCCUGGGCUAGGGCCCCCCAGCAAUCAGGAAUGAGAGAAAUGCAGAAAGUAUGACCCACACGCAGAACUGGUUCUGAAUAGAACAUUUAUUGACGAAGUUUUGCAGGAGGCGGCGGGCGCUUUAAUUCCCGAGGCUGUUGGUGGCAGCUCGCUGCUCACCCCAAGCCUGUUAACUGCUAGGUUGCCGGUGCUGGGGACAAUGCGGCUGCCCGGCCCCUCGCCACCCUCGUGGUGCCCGGAUGGGAGCUCUCCUGAGGAAAGCGAAUCUCCCUGGGGUGCCCUCCCCAGGCAGCAAUGCCAGGAUGCCUGUGUCCACCUCCCUCCACCAGGAUGGCAGCCAGGAGCGGCCGGUGAGCCUGACCUCUACCACCUCCUCGUCGGGCUCCUCCUGUGACAGUCGCAGUGCCAUGGAGGAGCCCAGCAGCUC